rnacentral:ncRNA from 2 species
CCGUCGUGAGACAGGUUAGU